CUCAACCACGAACUUCACCACAGACCUGGAAGAAACCUCCAUCCUCAAAGACUUGGAAAAGGCUGUCCUGGAGCCUGCGUGGAGGUUACAAAAAUCAUCCCUCUGGUGGUGGCCUGAGCAGAUUACUUCAACCCCAAUGUUGCCCUGAACGUUGCAUUCAAGAUUUGAGAAGAUUAGGACUGCUAAGGUAUGGACUUGUGACUUCUAUCUUUUUUGAAGGCAAAUACAUUUAAAGAUAGUUAAUCAUUUUCACAGCCUUCUCUCCUCCUCAUCUGCUCUUUUCUUUUUCUCUUACCUUUCUCCCUCCCUCCUUUUACGCAAUGAUCUAGUC
rnacentral:lncRNA from 1 species